GGCAGCACAACCUUUGUGCUGUAGUGACAAGGAGCUCGGUUCAGAUGCUGCCUUUCAGGGUUGCAUUUCAGUAGCAGCAGCAGCAGCAAACUGAUCUUUAAUGGUUAGGGGAGGAAUGGUAUCCAGAGCAGAAAACUGCUGCAGGAUCGCAGGGUUAUUUAAAGGCCUGCAAGAUGGGUUUGCAUUUAUUAGUCAUUUCAAGAAUAAUGGUGGUUCUGUGCUGAAAGCUGCAUCCUCGUUCUCAGCUGUUGUCUGUGCUUGUUUGGGGAGGAUCAGUGUAUCAGAGAGGUUUGGCUGUGCAGAGACACAACCAGUCUCUUAACCAAACAAGGGCUUGUGAGGCUCUGAGGGUCUGACAGGGACAAUGUCAAGUACUGUCAGAUCCCAGUGGGUGCCCCGUGAGUCACAGGUCCUGCAGGAGACAGUCUGUGCAGUUGUAUGAUCAAAAACUCCACGGGGAAGUGUACGUGCAUGAAAGGCAAGUUCAAGUCUGCCUUUCUGGUGCCUUAACUUCUCAGCGCUCUGCUUUUCAAUCGUAGCACUCUUUUAAUGCAAGGAAUGAUGGAGGCAAAGCUAACAGCCCCAGAACUUCUGAAGGGGUGUUUUUUAAAGGAAAAAGAGAGGAAAAAGAUCCCUUGAAACCUCUGGUAUGUGGUAUCAGACUGUUGGCAAGGUUGAGAAUGUCUAAGCCAUGGCACAGACUUCGGCCACUUGAGCUCAUGGAGCGACAAAGAGCUGUGUUGUCUCUGCCCUAGGUGGACCAGAUGGACAGAGGGUGAAGCCAAGUGUCCCACCGGGGUUUGGCUGGUCUGCCAGCAGCAGAGGGGUGUUAACAGUCCAUAAACGGGUCUCUGCCCAGAUCUGGAAGGGACUGGGGAGUAACAGCAUCUACAUUUGUGAGUGAGUGAUCCCAUUUCUUGGCUGGAAAAAGGCACUGAAGAACACUUUGCGUUGGGAAGCGCCACACAGAAGGACGAGCUUUCUGGUCCACGUAACCUCAUGGAAGUAUUAGGCAUGAACAGUCUGUUUGCUCAACCAAAUAACUUGAGCGGCAAACUUGCACAAGGAUUAUGGGAUUGGAGAUGUCCCACAGCACAGCAGGGUUCGUAUUUAUCCAACCCACUUCAACAGGCCACAUUCCCAGGUUUUGGGGAGCAAAUUAAGCUGCCUUUAAAACAGGCUUCCCUCCUCUUGGUGCUACCCCACCAUAGAGCCCUGGGUCACUCCUGUACUGACCACAGGGAUGAGGCACUGGACUGAGGACCAGUUUGGCCCAGCCUGCCGUAAGUGCUGGCAAUGCACAAUGUGAUGCUGGGUAAUGCAUUAUGUGAUGCUGCUUCCCUCCCUCAGGGACACCUCUCCUCCUUGUCUACCAGCAAUAGCAAUCCCAUGGCUGUUUCAACAGGACUGAUGGAAAACCAUACUUCUUUCUUUAUUUCCAUGGGUUGCUUUCCCUUCAAAUGAGCUAUCUGGACUGAUGCAGCCCCAUGGCUCCCUGGCUACAGAGGAACUGGGGAAGAAAAGCAGGGGAGCAAGAGAAAAGCAAAGCAGAGGAGGGAGAGAAAAGCAGGAGCACUGUUUUUGAGGCUGCAACACUAAAUUAGGAGAAACAACAAGCUGCACCUUGAGCCUCGGAAAAUCCAGCUGCGAUGCUGAGCUUUGCCUCUGGCUCAGCACUAAGACAGGGCUACCAAUAAAUCCCUUCUCCCACCUUCUGCAUGUCCUGAUUAGAUAGACUGUGACAGACGGGGGCUGUCACUUAUUAUGUGCUUGUUCAGUGCCUGGUACAAUGCAGCUCUGAUCUCAGCUCACACCCGUGCCUGCUGCAUGAACAAUAGCACUGAAAUGAGUCUAAUGGCUGGCCGUGGGGAGGUCACCAGCUGCCUGAUGUCUGCCCCCCCACCAGGAGCCACUGCAUCCCAACUGGAAAAGGAGGAAUUUCCAGGCUCCAUCCCUGCCACACUUGGGAAUUACCCCUCAUUAGCUCAGCAGCUAGUUCAGGAGUCCACAUGGUUAUUUCCUUGGUGGAAGUGUAACUAAUAAGUGAAAUUAAUGUGUUGAUGUUAAUUUAA